GGCUCAGUGGUCUAGUGGUAUGAUUCCUGCUUCGGGUCGCACCCUUCCAUCUUACGUGGGAAUGCAGGAGGCCCCGGGUUCGAAUCCCGGCUGAGCCC
rnacentral:tRNA from 1 species